rnacentral:miRNA from 1 species
AGGAAUCGGAGGGAAAAGAUCC